rnacentral:rRNA from 1 species
GUGUCAGCCGCCGCGGUAAUACGUAGGUGGCAAGCGUUGUCCGGAUUUAUUGGGCGUAAAGGGUGCGCAGGUGGUUUCUUAAGUCUGAUGUGAAAGCCCACGGCUUAACCGUGGAGGGUCAUUGGAAACUGGGAGACUUGAGUGCAGAAGAGGAAAGUGGAAUUCCAAGUGUAGCGGUGAAAUGCGUAGAGAUUGGGAGGAAUACCAGUGGCGAAGGCGCCUUUCUGGUCUGCAACUGACGCUGAGGCGUGAAAGCAUGGGGAGCAAACAGGAUUAGAUACCCUGGUAGUCCAUGCCGUAAACGAUGAGUGCUAAGUGUAAGGGGGAUUGCGCCCCUUAGUGCUGCAGUUAACACAAUAAGCACUCCGCCUGGGGAGUACGACCGCAAGGUUAAAACUCAAAGGAAUUGGCGG